UACGGAGGGUGCAAGCGUUAUCCGGAUUCACUGGGUUAAAGGCUGCGUAGGCGGACAGGUAAGUCAGUGGUGAAAUCUCCGAGCUUAACUCGGAAACUGCCUUUGAUACUCUCUGUCUUGAAUAUGGUGGAGGUAAGCGGAAUAUGUCAUGUAGCGGUGAAAUGCUUAGAGAUGACAUAGAACACCUAUUGCGAAGGCAGCUUACUACGCCUAUAUUGACGCUGAGGCACGAAAGCGUGGGGAUCAAACAGG
rnacentral:rRNA from 1 species